rnacentral:lncRNA from 1 species
GUUAAAAAUAAAAAUCGACAUGUCCGAGCGUUUUUUUUUUGAACAUACCCCUGAAUUUUAAAUGAAUUUAUUCCAACCUUUACGUUCGCACUGUAUAUUAAAAACAUUGGUAAAUAACUACGAUGCAGCGUCGACAAUAUCCCUUUAGAUUCCUCUCUCGAGUGAAUAACUGCAGUGAGUGGAUUUAUUCCGGGCAGCUUUAUUACGAGCCUCUCACAUUCGGCCAUCCUGACUGGAUAUUGGUCGACUGUCUACUGUUUAUCACUUAUAUCUGGAAUAAGAAGAAUGGAAACAAAAUUCCAUUAAAUUUUAUAAAAUAUGGUGCCACAGGGAAAUUCCCAACGGGCGAUUUAACUAAGUCAUCCCGACAGCAUUUAGGCUCGGGGAACUAUAGUUCCCGAUAGCCACAUCUCAGGGAUGCACUUUACUCAAGAAGACUGAGUAAUUUCUCGACAUUUGAAAACCCAGAGAAGCUCACCAAAUUUCACUUCAUCGAACCCAGGGAUCAGCCCAACGGUAUCAAAAUUCAUUGAAGCUCAGGGACAUUACUUCCCGACGGCUUAUAUCUAUUCACAGCUCCUAACUCUGACGUCUUCUUAAGGUGCCCAAGAGUCAUCUCAACGGCUUAAAUAUAUAUACAUUGGCAAAGAAAUGAUCAUUUGCAUUUCGACUGUCUCAUUCAACCUCAUCAAAAUUGAACCAUUUCUUCAUUUGCUCGGAAGCAUAGACUCUGGUAUAAGGGAUCCUAGACCUUGUCUGACCAAGAAGGUCAGUCUCCUCAAACCUAUCAUUUCCGAGGCAUUUGGAUAUUUUAAAUGCACCUUUCCAUUUGGGCACCAACUUCCGACUAUUUCCGGUGCUAACAAUAGAGGAAAUUUUUAUGAGCACCUAGUCGCCUGGGCUAAAGGAUUUUGGUCCGGCGCGAUGCUCAUCAAAACUGUCCUUCUGUCGUUGUUGACUGACCUCUAUUUUAUCUACCAUUGACUAGCGAAAUCCCAAAACAUCAACAGGAUCUUGAGGUUCUACAAAGGCUAGAUUUUGUGGACCAGAUCGGUAGCCCAAUAAUGCUUCGGAUGGUGAAGUCACAAUGGCCUUAUUGAGGGUGUUAUUAAGGCCCAGUUGGAUAUUGAUGAUGUUUUUGUCCCAUUCAUCGUCAUCUUUGUCUGCUCCCAUUGUGGCCAACGAGUCAAGAACGGUCUUAUUAUACCGCUCAACCUGGCCAUUACCACGUGGCAUUCCAACCGCAUUAAAGUGUAAUUGGACUUGUUUCUGUUCACAAAACUUUUUGAACGUCUUAGAAGUAAAUGCCCUACCUCUAUCGGUAAUUAUUCUUCUUGUAUUUCGAAUAUUUUUAUAAUUCCAGAUACUUCCUGGACAACAUAUUUAGCUUUAGUGUUUUUAAGGGCUUUUAUAAAACAAAAAAAAGUGAACGCAUCAACAAUAACAAUUAAAUAACGAUUGCCUUCUUUACUUUUAGAAAACGGACCAAGGUGGUCAAUGUGGAUUGUUUGAAAUUGUUUUUUUAUGCUAUUUAUAUUCUUGUCGCUUUCCUGACACGAAAGUAACCAAUCGUUCUCUGUAAUGACUGCAGCAUAAAUACCCUUACUAGAAUCAAGUACAGGAUUUCUGUUUAACGCAUCUACAUGACAGAUGCGAAUACCAGGUUUAUGCAAAUUUUCAAAGUUAUAUUCUUGCAAACCUAAGAUCCACCUACCAAUACGACGAUUGAGAUCGCAGUCAGCAUUUAUCUUAAAUUGGACUCCGAUUAAAUAAUGCCUAAAUCGCUGCACAGAACAAACAAUAGCUAGGGCUUCUAAUUCGGAAGAAUGGUAUCGUUGUUCGGUGGGUGAGGUCAUCCUGCUGUAGUAGCCAAUAACUUUCUCUUUUCCAUCUUCCAGUUGCACAAGCAUCCCGGCUAAACCAACUCGACUGACAACACUAUAAAGAAUAAUUGGUUUGGAGUGAUCAAACAAAGUUAAUAUAGGGGUAGAAAUCAUGUGAUGCUUUAAAUACUCAAAGGAGUUUUGCUGCUCUUCUGUCCGCAGCCAUGGUUGCCCCUUUCUCAACAAAAUGGUAAGAGGCUUAGAUUUUUGUGCAAAGCAAGGUAUAAAUUUUCGAAAAUGUCCAACGAGACCUAAAAAUUGUUCAAUUUGGUGAAUAUUCUUUGGGGACGGAAAAUUACUAAUCGCUGUUAUUUUUGUAGGGCUAGGUCUCACUUGUCCAUUCGCCACUAUAUAUCCAUCUAUAUAUACUUUGAGGUAUUCAAAUUUCCCUUCUGGAGUUUUAAAGGCGGUUAUAGGAAUCGAAUCUUCAGAAAGACAAAUCUGAUGGUACCCUGAACGGCAAUCUAAGCUAUUAAAAUGUUUCUGACCAGCUAAUCUAUCGAUUAGAUCUUCAAUGAUAGGUAAAGGAUAAUUUAUUGUGACAGUCUUUUUGUUGACGAGUCUCUAAUAGACGCACAACCUAUGGUCACCCGUCUUCUUCUUUACCAUAAUAAAGUCCAGUUCAGAGAUCUAUUAGAAUCUUUGAUGUGUCGCAGAUGCCGCACUAACUAGUCCGUGCGCCUAUGUCAUAUUUAUUGUCGCAUGAUAUACAUGUUUAAAUGGCAAAAUGUUAUAUUGUCUAUCUAUGAAAUCAUUUUAAAUAUACGUAAAACCCGAAGUUUUAUACUAUUUUUUAUUUUUCUUUCGAAAAUGUCAAUUUUUAGAAAGAAAAUAAUAUCACAAGAAAAUAAUAUCAAAAAAUUGACCGACUGGACUAAAAUCCAAGCAUCUUACAAAAUAUUUUAAACACUUCCAGCACCCACAGACUUGUCACCUCUUUUUAGCCAGUCUAUUAAACAAAGAUAAAACAGCUGCGUUCUGGCGAUUUCUACUUUAGGCUGUGCAAGUGAUUGUGUAUCUCUCUCUAUCCCACUGAUUUUAAGAAUUACGGGGCCCUAUCCAAAUAAAUUUUUGGGCAGUUUUUGUAUUACUUUCGACGUGUUUUUAAAGAGAUUUUUAAGGAUGGGUUUAUCGCCUUUAAAAUAGUUGUUGGAUGGGUCUAUCACCUUUAAUAGUUGGGAGGGGGGCCAUGUGAGGUUAUUAUUUGAUGUGUUUUGCCGGUUAUGCUUUUUACACGUUUAUGAAAGUAGAGAAUUUAGAAUUUUGCCUGUAUUCGUCUAAUUUUUUUUGCAGUUUUUACUAUGAGGAAGUGUGUUUUUUUAUUUGUGUUUGUGGAUUUGUUUUGGUAUUAUACCUAAAGACCUUAAAAUGUUUCGACCCUGGGAAAAUAGGCAGGAAAAUUUGGCAAAUGAAGAGGAAAGUAUUUGUGCUGGCUUAUGGAGACCGUGGGUGUACAAGAAAGACAAUAACAUUUGUGAUAAAAAAAAGAGUGAUCUGGACAGUGAUUUAGACUUACAUAGUUCUGAUAGUUCAUUUUCUAGUGUUGAGGAAGCAAAAAGAAGCAAGGGAAGUAGAAGCUACAGAGGAAAUCAAGCAGUUUUAAAGCGUAAUUGUUUAAGUACAGACGCCAAACAAAUUUAUCUAAAUAUCUAUAACAAUCUAAUAGGAAUGAUCUUCAGUUCACAAAUGAUUGUAGUGCUUUGCAAAAAACAGCGUUUUUAACAGGGGUUCCCUAUAGUACAAUAUGCCUGUAAAAAAAAGGAUUAAAGGCAGAAUAAAAAGGAAAGAUGCAGGACAAUCAAAGGGACUUGCCACGGAUAUUGCCAAAUUGCUAAGGAAAGGUGUGUAUUCUAAAUACAAAAACAAUGAGGUUCUGACCAUAGAGACACCUUAUCGGCAAGGGACAAACAUUUCUCAGUCUCAACCUUGCGGAGAUCCUGAUAUAACUUGGAUUUAAACUUAAGAUGGUUAACAAACGAGCUGCUGUAAUGGAAUUCUCAGGUGGUUUAUAAAAUAUUUGAGGAAAAUUUAAAAAAAUUGGGAGGAAGAAAGAUCCAUAUAUUAUUUAGCCGAAACAUGAUAUGAUACAUUUAAGAUUGAUGUAUGAUUUCCAUUUUCUGGGAAAAAAUCUUUUGUUUGCCAUACUUACUGCCCCUGUUUGUCCUUCAGUAACAUAAUAAAGACUGCUUCUUCCACCAUUUUCUGGGAAAAGCCCUUUUUUGCUAUGCUUACUAGCCCUGUUGUCCCUCAACGACACAAUAAAGACUGCUUCUUCUUCCAUUCUCUGGAAAAAAGUCCCUUUUUUGCUAUAGUAAGAAAACCAUAUUUUUAUUAAUUAAACAAGUUUAAAAUUUUGUUUUUUACUGCUUACUGCCCCUGUUUGUCCUUCAGUAACACUAUAAAGACUGCUUCUUUCACCAUUCUCUGGGAAAAAGUCCCUUUUUUGCCAUACUUACUGCCCCUGUUUGUCCUUCAGCGACACAACAAAGUAUAUAUAAUGUAAUGCUUUAGUAUCUAUAUGCUGAUGUGCGAGAUGAAGUUGGAAUCCAUGGCGGCAACAGAGAAACUGUUUCCUUCCUUAAUGGAAGAAACUGCUAAAGAACAAUGACAAAAAAACAGAAUUUAGAAAAUUUAUUAACUUUUUGGGCCAGAUUCAAAAGAGUGGUUAAAUUUAUAAAAGUAUUUAGUAUCCUCACUGUAGUUUUAGGAUCCAGUAUACUUAAAAUGUAGUGUUUUGUAUAAGAUUUUUAGUUUUUAGUAUAAGCAUUUAUUUUUGUUAAUUUUUAUCUAAUCUCUCCUAAUAUGCAUAAUAACUAAAUAC